GACGAACGCUGGCGGCGUGCCUAAUACAUGCAAGUAGAACGCUGAAGGAGGAGCUUGCUCUUCUGGAUGAGUUGCGAACGGGUGAGUAACGCGUAGGUAACCUGCCUGGUAGCGGGGGAUAACUAUUGGAAACGAUAGCUAAUACCGCAUAAGAGUAGAUGUUGCAUGACAUUUGCUUAAAAGGUGCAAUUGCAUCACUACCAGAUGGACCUGCGUUGUAUUAGCUAGUUGGUGGGGUAACGGCUCACCAAGGCGACGAUACAUAGCCGACCUGAGAGGGUGAUCGGCCACACUGGGACUGAGACACGGCCCAGACUCCUACGGGAGGCAGCAGUAGGGAAUCUUCGGCAAUGGACGGAAGUCUGACCGAGCAACGCCGCGUGAGUGAAGAAGGUUUUCGGAUCGUAAAGCUCUGUUGUAAGAGAAGAACGAGUGUGAGAGUGGAAAGUUCACACCGUGACGGUAUCUUACCAGAAAGGGACGGCUAACUACGUGCCAGCAGCCGCGGUAAUACGUAGGUCCCGAGCGUUGUCCGGAUUUAUUGGGCGUAAAGCGAGCGCAGGCGGUUAGAUAAGUCUGAAGUUAAAAGCUGUGGCUUAACCAUAGUACGCUUUGGAAACUGUUUAACUUGAGUGCAAGAGGGGAGAGUGGAAUUCCAUGUGUAGCGGUGAAAUGCGUAGAUAUAUGGAGGAACACCGGUGGCGAAAGCGGCUCUCUGGCUUGUAACUGACGCUGAGGCUCGAAAGCGUGGGGAGCAAACAGG
rnacentral:rRNA from 1 species